rnacentral:rRNA from 1 species
GAUGAACGCUGGCGGCGUGCCUAAUACAUGCAAGUCGAGCGAACAGACGAGAGUGCUUGCACUCUCUGACGUUAGCGGCGGACGGGUGAGUAACACGUGGGUAACCUACCUAUAAGACUGGGAUAACUUCGGGAAACCGGAGCUAAUACCGGAUAAUAUUUAGCUUCGCAUGAAGCAAUAGUGAAAGACGGUUCUGCUGUCACUUAUAGAUGGACCCGCGGUGUAUUAGCUAGUUGGUGAGGUAACGGCUCACCAAGGCAACGAUACAUAGCCGACCUGAGAGGGUGAUCGGCCACACUGGGACUGAGACACGGCCCAGACUCCUACGGGAGGCAGCAGUAGGGAAUCUUCCGCAAUGGACGAAAGUCUGACGGAGCAAUGCCGCGUGAGUGAAGAAGGUGUUCGGAUCGUAAAACUCUGUUGUAAGGGAAGAACAAGUACGUUAGUAACUGAACGUACCUUGACGGUACCUUACCAGAAAGCCACGGCUAACUACGUG